rnacentral:rRNA from 1 species
UACGGGGGGCGCAAGCGUUGUUCGGAUUUACUGGGCGUAAAGGGCGCGUAGGCGGCCACCGCAAGUCGAUUGUGAAAUCUCCGGGCUUAACCCGGAAAGGUCAACCGAUACUGCGGGGCUAGAGUGCAGAAGGGGCAACUGGAAUUCUCGGUGUAGCGGUGAAAUGCGUAGAUAUCGAGAGGAACACCUGCGGCGAAGGCGGGUUGCUGGGCUGACACUGACGCUGAAGUGCGAAAGCUAGGGGAGCGAACGGG